rnacentral:lncRNA from 10 species
GUUUGAAUGGUGAGUAGGAGAGAGUAGUAUUGAUUGAAGAGGAAGAAAAGAGGCUCGAAUCAGGGACUCUCGCAAGGCGAGCCCCUGCUAGAGCGCUUCCCGCCUGCAGCUUGAAUCCCGGGUUCCACACAGGAAGAGGAGGGACCAGGCUCCUCCCUGCUCCAAAGGGCACGAACUUCUGUGUCUCCACCCCAGUGCGCAUUUCUCCUAGUGCGCAGGCUCGUUGGAGGUUUUCCGGGGACCCUUUCCAACCUGGCUGUCUCAAAGGGAACCAGAUUAUGCAAGGCUUUGUGUUCCAGCUUAGGCUAAACCAAGAACAACUUUAUCCUAAGGUCAAGAGGAAAUAUUUGAUAGGUUCUAAAGAAGGGAGGAGGAAACUGAGACCCAGGCAGAAGAAUUUGUUCUUCAAACUGCGAAAGCAGAGCUACCCCAAUUCAUCCACACACAUAGUAUUUCAGAGAAAAAAAGAAAACCCUAUGAUGGCAAGCAGUCAUAAGGAUGAAUGAGUGGCUUGAUCUCGGCUCAUUGCAACCUUCGCCUCCUGGGUUCAAGCAAUUCUACCUGCCUAGCCUCCCGAGUAGCUGGGAUUACAGGCACCCUGCAUCACAACGGCAUCACGCAUUCGAAUUUAGUAUUUUAGAGUGAUCUUAAUAGGUUUUCUACCAGGUGAACUACGUGGUCAUGGAAGCACUGUUGAUGGUGUGGCACUACUGCCUGUUCUUCAAAGAAAAAUUCAAACCCCUAUUGCCGGCUUUGAAAAUGGAAGAAGAAUGCCCUGAUUCAAGGAAUGUAGUGGCCUCUAGCAUUUGGCAAGGAAGAAGGGAAGGAACACACCCUCACAGGCUCUUCCCUGGCUGCAUUCAUGCACUGUGUCCCGCUUCUCAGUGGAACCAGCUAUCAGCACCAUGGACAGAACCCGGGAGAUUGGGUCCUCAGAGCAAGUAAAAUGAUUCAGGAGUGUCUGGCCAAGGCACUAACUACAGAGAUUUUUAUUUCAUGUGAAUAAACAGUUUUCUGUUUGACUUCAAGGCCAGGAUCCCGUUUUCCUUUUGCAGUUCUUCUGAGGAAGUUAAUGUUAAUGAGCACAAGAUGAAACUUAGCUUCAACAUGAUCUGUACUUUACACAUCAAAAUAAAGAAGAUUACCAACACAGUCACAGACACAGAUGCCCUUUAUUAUGCUGAGAAAUUUUCUGUGUCGGGGAUUGCCAAGACCACUGGCAGGCUCAGUGAGAAGGACUCAAAGACUCAUAAGCUGUUACAUUCAGAGCUGUGAUUUAUUAAAGCCAAAGGAAACAGAUUAAAACUAAUUAAAGAAAAAAUGCAUGGGCAAUGUCCAGAAGAAACCAGAUGCAAGCUUCCAGUUGUCUUUUCCUAGUAGUAUCAUAUGAACAUGCUUAAUUCUCCCAGCAAUAAUUUAUGCCAGCAUGUGCAGAGUGUCACCAACAAGGGAAGCUCAACCAAGCCUUGCUGCCUAAGAUUUCUAAUGAAGUGUCACUCUUGUUGGCAUGUAGCAACUACAUAACAAAGUCUCGGCUACUCAAGCUCCAGCCCCUCAGAGAAAAAGAGAAAUUCACUGUAAAUCACAUUUGUUAACAUAAACUAUCUCAUCAAACUGGUACUGCACGGCCCAAGGCCACAGACAUACAGAAACAGGUGUUCAAUAUGAAGCACAUUUGUUAGCCAAGGGCCAGUCCUGAAGACAGCUUCUUCUUGGGAAUGUGCAGUAUUUGACUCAGUUUAUCCCUUCCCACACGGUUCCUCUCACUCUGGCUCUUGGCAUGGGUUCUCUUACAGCAGAGUAAUCAGAUUUGAGGAGCAUCUGCACUUGAUAGAGCAUUUAUAUGCCUGAUAUAACAAUUGCAUCAGCAUGAAUAUGCCUAACAUUUGAAGGAGUCAGUUUGGAGUAGAGACAGACUUAAGGAAAUAAUCCAUUCUCUAAAGGUAUUACAUACAUUUUCUUAUUUUCAUACUAAUUUGAUUAUGCACUGUUCUCUUGAUAUACCAUUAUUGUACCUUGUGAUAAGCUUGUACAGGAUGAUUUAUUAAAUAAAUUACUUUUGCACCAACUUCUAUUUGUAAUAGAAUACAAAUUAGUUGAUGGUAGUUAAAUCCCAUUCUUCCUUGGGUCAUUCACUUUCCAUUGUGUUACAUCCUGAG